rnacentral:rRNA from 1 species
GAUGAACGCUGGCGGCGUGCCUAAUACAUGCCAGUCGAGCGAACGGACGAGAAGCUUGCUUCUCUGAUGUUAGCGGCGGACGGGUGAGUAACACGUGGAUAACCUACCUAUAAGACUGGGAUAACUUCAGGAAACCGUAGCUAAUACCGGAUAAUAUUUUGAACCGCAUGGUUCAAAAGUGAAAGACGGUCUUGCUGUCACUUAUAGAUGGAUCCGCGCUGCAUUAGCUAGUUGGUAAGGUAACGGCUUACCAAGGCAACGAUGCAUAGCCGACCUGAGAGGGUGAUCGGCCACACUGGAACUGAGACACGGUCCAGACUCCUACGGGAGGCAGCAGUAGGGAAUCUUCCGCAAUGGGCGAAAGCCUGACGGAGCAACGCCGCGUGAGUGAUGAAGGUCUUCGGAUCGUAAAACUCUGUUAUUAGGGAAGAACAUAUGUGUAAGUAACUGUGCACAUCUUGACGGUACCUAAUCAGAAAGCCACGGCUAACUACGUG